rnacentral:rRNA from 1 species
UUCCGUGGUUCUAGCGAAGGGGUCACACCUGAUCCCAUCUCGAACUCAGCAGUUAAGCCCUUCAGCACCGAUGAUACUCUUCAAUGGGGAAAGUAGGACGCCGCGGGAA